AUGAACGCUAGCUACAGGCUUAACACAUGCAAGUCGAGGGGCAUCAGGAAGAAAGCUUGCUUUCUUUGCUGGCGACCGGCGCACGGGUGAGUAACACGUAUCCAACCUGCCCUUUACUCGGGGAUAGCCUUUCGAAAGAAAGAUUAAUACCCGAUGGCAUAAUGAUUCCGCAUGGUUUCAUUAUUAAAGGAUUUCGGUAAAGGAUGGGGAUGCGUUCCAUUAGGUUGUUGGUGAGGUAACGGCUCACCAAGCCUUCGAUGGAUAGGGGUUCUGAGAGGAAGGUCCCCCACAUUGGAACUGAGACACGGUCCAAACUCCUACGGGAGGCAGCAGUGAGGAAUAUUGGUCAAUGGGCGCUAGCCUGAACCAGCCAAGUAGCGUGAAGGAUGAAGGCUCUAUGGGUCGUAAACUUCUUUUAUAUAAGAAUAAAGUGCAGUAUGUAUACUGUUUUGUAUGUAUUAUAUGAAUAAGGAUCGGCUAACUCCGUGCCAGCAGCCGCGGUAAUACGGAGGAUCCGAGCGUUAUCCGGAUUUAUUGGGUUUAAAGGGAGCGUAGGUGGACUGGUAAGUCAGUUGUGAAAGUUUGCGGCUCAACCGUAAAAUUGCAGUUGAUACUGUCAGUCUUGAGUACAGUAGAGGUGGGCGGAAUUCGUGGUGUAGCGGUGAAAUGCUUAGAUAUCACGAAGAACUCCGAUUGCGAAGGCAGCUCACUGGACUGCAACUGACACUGAUGCUCGAAAGUGUGGGUAUCAAACAGGAUUAGAUACCCUGGUAGUCCACGCUGUAAACGAUGAUUACUAGGUGUGGGGGGUCUGACCCCUUCCGUGCCGGAGUUAACACAAUAAGUAAUCCACCUGGGGAGUACGGCCGCAAGGUUGAAACUCAAAGGAAUUGACGGGGGCCCGCACAAGCGGAGGAACAUGUGGUUUAAUUCGAUGAUACGCGAGGAACCUUACCCGGGCUUAAAUUGCAGUGGAAUGAUGUGGAAACAUGUCAGUGAGCAAUCACCGCUGUGAAGGUGCUGCAUGGUUGUCGUCAGCUCGUGCCGUGAGGUGUCGGCUUAAGUGCCAUAACGAGCGCAACCCUUAUCUUCAGUUACUAACAGGUCAUGCUGAGGACUCUGGAGAGACUGCCGUCGUAAGAUGUGAGGAAGGUGGGGAUGACGUCAAAUCAGCACGGCCCUUACGUCCGGGGCUACACACGUGUUACAAUGGGGGGUACAGAAGGCAGCUAGCGGGUGACCGUAUGCUAAUCCCAAAAUCCUCUCUCAGUUCGGAUCGAAGUCUGCAACCCGACUUCGUGAAGCUGGAUUCGCUAGUAAUCGCGCAUCAGCCACGGCGCGGUGAAUACGUUCCCGGGCCUUGUACACACCGCCCGUCAAGCCAUGGGAGCCGGGGGUACCUGAAGUACGUAACCGCAAGGAUCGUCCUAGGGUAAAACUGGUGACUGGGGCU
rnacentral:rRNA from 1 species